rnacentral:rRNA from 1 species
GGUAACACAGAGAGCUUAACUCUCGGGUGACGAGCGGCGGACGGGUGAGUAAUGUCUGGGAAACUGCCUGAUGGAGGGGGAUAACUACUGGAAACGGUAGCUAAUACCGCAUAACGUCGCAAGACCAAAGUGGGGGACCUUCGGGCCUCAUGCCAUCAGAUGUGCCCAGAUGGGAUUAGCUAGUAGGUGGGGUAAUGGCUCACCUAGGCGACGAUCCCUAGCUGGUCUGAGAGGAUGACCAGCCACACUGGAACUGAGACACGGUCCAGACUCCUACGGGAGGCAGCAGUGGGGAAUAUUGCACAAUGGGCGCAAGCCUGAUGCAGCCAUGCCGCGUGUAUGAAGAAGGCCUUCGGGUUGUAAAGUACUUUCAGCGAGGAGGAAGGCAUUAAGGUUAAUAACCUUGGCGAUUGACGUUACUCGCAGAAGAAGCACCGGCUAACUCCGUGCCAGCAGCCGCGGUAAUACGGAGGGUGCAAGCGUUAAUCGGAAUUACUGGGCGUAAAGCGCACGCAGGCGGUCUGUCAAGUCGGAUGUGAAAUCCCCGGGCUCAACCUGGGAACUGCAUUCGAAACUGGCAGGCUAGAGUCUUGUAGAGGGGGGUAGAAUUCCAGGUGUAGCGGUGAAAUGCGUAGAGAUCUGGAGGAAUACCGGUGGCG